GUGGCGGACGGGUGAGUAAUGCUUGGGAACUUGCCUUUGCGAGGGGGAUAACAGUUGGAAACGACUGCUAAUACCGCAUAAUGUCUUCGGACCAAACGGGGCUUAGGCUCCGGCGCAAAGAGAGGCCCAAGUGAGAUUAGCUAGUUGGUAAGGUAACGGCUUACCAAGGCGACGAUCUCUAGCUGUUCUGAGAGGAAGAUCAGCCACACUGGGACUGAGACACGGCCCAGACUCCUACGGGAGGCAGCAGUGGGGAAUAUUGCACAAUGGGGGAAACCCUGAUGCAGCCAUGCCGCGUGUGUGAAGAAGGCCUUCGGGUUGUAAAGCACUUUCAGUUGUGAGGAAAAGUUAGUAGUUAAUACCUGCUAGCCGUGACGUUAACAACAGAAGAAGCACCGGCUAACUCCGUGCCAGCAGCCGCGGUAAUACGGAGGGUGCGAGCGUUAAUCGGAAUUACUGGGCGUAAAGCGCACGCAGGCGGUUUGUUAAGCUAGAUGUGAAAGCCCCGGGCUCAACCUGGGAUGGUCAUUUAGAACUGGCAGACUAGAGUCUUGGAGAGGGGAGUGGAAUUCCAGGUGUAGCGGUGAAAUGCGUAGAUAUCUGGAGGAACAUCAGUGGCGAAGGCGACUCCCUGGCCAAAGACUGACGCUCAUGUGCGAAAGUGUGGGUAGCGAACAGGAUUAGAUACCCUGGUAGUCCACACCGUAAACGCUGUCUACUAGCUGUGUGU
rnacentral:rRNA from 1 species